AUCACCUGCGAAUGCACUUGUCAGUUAAAAGGGUGGUUUUCUUGCAUGUUAAGAAACAUUGCUCUCAUCGUAGUAGCUCGGUUUGGUAUAAAUCAAAUAAUCAAUAUUCCCAUAACUCCAUGGUCGCAGUCGGAGCGUAUCUCUCCCUUUCUACGUGAGUGGAAAGGAGAAAAACAAGCAAAAUAUACAGGGUUAGAGUACCAUACAAUAUGGUACACAGUGCAUCAUCCAUCGUGUGAUGGACAGCCAUGCAUGGAUGUGUGCUCGUUGCACGUGGCUGUGCACGGCCAUCCAUCGCACGAUGGAUGGUGCGUGCUGUGUACUAUACC
rnacentral:lncRNA from 1 species